rnacentral:lncRNA from 1 species
GAUUGCCCUCAGAUGGCGUUCUCACCAUGAUAUAUGAACACGGAACAGGAAAUCACACCAUUACUGUAGUCCUGCAGAGCGGCAGUGAAAGAAUUUCCACUGUAUUUGGAGGUCACAGGCUGUCCACAGAACCUCCUAAAUCCCAUCUGUCUGUGAGCACAACGUCACAAAGAUAAAGAAAUAUGUGAUCCCUUUUAUUGUGGAAGCUGCUGGCUAUUAUGAGAAUUUCACCACAAAGAUUGCUGCAUUGAUAACGACCACCAUAGAGACAGAACAGCUCAAAACUGAAAUAGAGAUGAAAACCACUGGCAGUGCCAUGGAAAUUUCUCUUUCACUUCAUCACGAUGUGGGAGGACUGAUUAACAUCGUUCCGUGUAUACUACAGGUUACUUGCAGCGGAGAAUCUAACAAACAGGUUUCUGGCCUUUGCAAUGGAGAGAUUGCAUUUCACCAUUUUGAGAAUCCAACAAGGGUUUCACUGAAUGGGUCGAUGAUUACCAGCGACUUUAGUGUCAUCAUCUUUGGACACAUUUCCUUUAAUGACAUGUUUGCCUGCCUGCAACUUCAUGCCAGCACUAACAUCCAGCCUCAUUUGGAAAUUGACUUCCAGCAUUCCUUGCCUCAGCUUCAAUCUCUGGGUAUUUCCAAAGAGAAUCAAAUGAAAGUGUCAGCUAUCAGAAGUGACAAAUAUAAGGGGAUGCUUGAUGUCAUCUUCGGGCCUUGCAGUUUCAAAGCUGAUGGAGAAGUGAGCCUGAAUGCAAUGAAACAGAAAUAGAAUUACUUACUUUUACAAACAAGUGUGUCAGCCUAGAGAGAAUGGGACUGCCACAUGCUGUAGCCUUUGGGGGCUCAUUUCAAAAGAACACCUGCAAUAUUGACUUGUUGAUGAACCUCCAGUAUGAUGGCAAAACAGUUGAUGUGCAGAUGGAUACUUCCUGCAAAAACAAAUAUGCCUUCCAAGGGAUGCUCAGGCUUUCAGUUCCCUGGACGAGUCAACUUGGGCUGCCUUUUGAAAACUCUGUCCUGUUCUCUGCUUCCACAGAGUCCACCACUGGGGGCAUUUUGUUGCUGCAGGCUGGCAAAUGCAAACUUAAGGCUAGAGGAGAUCUCUGUAUACAGAAUAAAGCUGAAUGGACACUGGAAACA